UGGACAGAUUUCAGGCAUCUAAACUCAUUAAAAACAGAUUUAUCUUUAUGAAAUACAGAAAUCACUUUUAUUUACAUCUUGUCAACUGACCAAUUACAUUCAUAAAGUGUCCUGUGCGGUGAAAGGAUAGUAACGUCACUGUUUCUAAAACCAUAAUGCAAUUUUAUUUAUUUUUUGCACCUAACGCUAACAAAUCUCGCGAUAUGACUAACAUAAUCUCGCGGCCGCGAGAUACUAGGGCGCUGUUUUCAAAUCUCAUUUUCUUCCGGUUUUGUUCAGCACCACGAGAACAUGAGGACGCGGCGAAAAGUUGGACAAUUAUCACAAAUCUCCCACCGUGUAAGUACAGUUUGUAUUCAUUUAAUAACAUUAUUGAGUUUUACUCGAAGAAACUGAAAUAAAUGAUGCACAUUGUCAGUAGCGAUGUGGCGUUGCUUUGAGUAGGCUAAAAUUAGCCGUUAUGCUAAAAGUAAGUCGAGUUUGAGCAAUAUGUCAUGUUAUCACAGCAAUCUGGUGCAGUUUAUCAGGGUCUUCCUACACUGGUCCUCAAAGACAGCUGGUCAACAUGUUUUCCAGCAUCUCUGCCCAUCAUCCACCUGCUGUGUGUUCAGUCAGAGCUGAAAAUGACUAUUUUAGGGUCAAUAACAAUCAGUCAUCUGUCAGAGAGAAUUCAAGACUCUUUCUCCAGGCCGACUAAUUGUCUCCAGUGCAAAUGAUCCUCUGUCAUCACACUCCCUGAGGACACUCCAGAGUAGCAGGUCUACAUGUUCUGUUAAGAGACUGGAUUCUGAGAGCGAGAUCCUGUGAAGUGUUUAUCAAAGUUAAAAAGAAGAACUGGAUCUGUGUUCAGCAACUGUCCGGAGUUGGUGGAUGUUCUGUCCGAGCCUGAUUAAAAGAGUGAUAAACGGAUGCUGUGAAGUGAGUCCAGAUGCUACAGACACAGAAAAAGAUGCAGCAAUGGAGGAACACAGCAAGCACCUUCCAGGAAGAGCUGGAGAAUAGUAG